AUGUUGCUCCAUUUCCUUAACCUGUCUGGGAAUUCCCUAUCUAGCCAUAUUUCCUAUCCCUUCUUCAACAUAUCAAGUCUGAUUGCUUUGGAUAUCAGAAACAAUCAGUUUGCAGGCAACCUCCAUUGGAUACGUUAUCUUGAUAACAUUAGGCUGCUUUCCUUGGGCAGAAAUAAGUUUGAAGGGCAGGUCACUCCAAACUUGUGUGAACUCUUGCACUUGAGGAUAAUCGACUUGUCUCAUAACAAGCUUUCAGGUUUGUUACCCUCAUGUAUUGGUAAUUUCUUUUUCGAAGGUGACAGGGACGAUCAAAUUUUCGAGGUAGUAUUACAGAGUUUAUCGUACCGACCAGCUGUCAAUCUUCAUAACUUGAGAGGUUUCAGCUUUACUACCAAACCAAGUCUUUAUGACUUGAGGGGCUUUAGCUUUACUACCAAAGGGAAUCUGUACACAUAUGGUCAAAGUUUCUUCGUUUCAAUGUCCGGCAUUGACCUAUCUGCGAAUAUGCUGCAUGGAGAAAUUCCUUGGGAGCUAGGAAAUAUGAGCCAUAUAAAAUCUCUUAACCUGUCAUACAAUUCCUUUGUUGGCCCGAUCCCGAUGACCUUUGGCGGCAUGGAGGAGAUAGAAAGUUUGGACCUCUCACACAAUGAGCUGAGUGGACCAGUACCUUGGCAGCUAACGCGGUUAUGUUCAUUGGGGGUGUUCUCUGUGGCAUGCAACAACUUGUCAGGAUGCGUACCGAACUCUGGUCAGCUUGGCUCAUUCGGCAUGGACAGCUACCUAGCCAACACCAACCUCCACAUGAUUACACAGGGGAACAUGUGCACUCCUGGUCCAGAUCCCGUGGCGGAGGAAGAUCUGGGUGAGAUGUCUGGUGACCCAAUCCUAUACAUGGUCAUGGCUGCCGGGUUUAUUUUGGCAUUCUGGGCCACUGUUUCUUUUUCAUUAUUCCAUCCGUACGGGAGGUCUGUAAUGUUCAAGCUGUAG
rnacentral:rRNA from 1 species